UACGAAGGGGGCUAGCGUUGCUCGGAAUCACUGGGCGUAAAGCGCUCGUAGGCGGAUUGUUAAGUCGGGGGUGAAAUCCUGGAGCUCAACUCCAGAACUGCCUUCGAUACUGGCAAUCUUGAGUCCGGGAGAGGUGAGUGGAACUCCGAGUGUAGAGGUGAAAUUCGUAGAUAUUCGCAAGAACACCAGUGGCGAAGGCGGCUCACUGGCCCGGUACUGACGCUGAGGUGCGAAAGCGUGGGGAGCAAACAGG
rnacentral:rRNA from 1 species